rnacentral:rRNA from 1 species
AGAGCGAACGCUGGCGGCAGGCCUAACACAUGCAAGUCGAGCGCCCGUAGCAAUACGGGAGCGGCAGACGGGAUAGUAACACGUGGGAACGCGCCCUUCGGUUCGGAAUAACUCAGGGAAACUUGAGCUAAUACCGGAUACGCCCUUACGGGGAAAGAUUUAUUGCCGAAGGAACGGCCCGCGUCCGAUUAGCUAGUUGGUGAGGUAAUGGCUCACCAAGGCGACGAUCGGUAGCUGGUCUGAGAGGAUGACCAGCAUCACUGGGACUGAGACACGGCCCAGACUCCUACGGGAGGCAGCAGUGGGGAAUAUGGACAAUGGGCGCAAGCCUGAUCCAGCCAUGCCGCGUGGAUGAUGAAGGCCUUAGGGUUGUAAAGUCCUUUUAACGGGGAAGAUAAUGACGGUACCGUAGAAUAAGCCCCGGCUAACUUCGCGCCAGCAGCCGC